rnacentral:sRNA from 1 species
AUGGAGGGCCCGCGCUCUGCGGCGUGUCGCGCUCGGCCAGCAACUUCCCCGGGCGCUGUGGACUUGACCGCGCCGCCGCUGCUGCUCCGCGUUCUCAACAGCCGGGCGGCCCCUGCCACCCGCACUUUUGCAGACCUCUGUCGGAGUCUCCUGCAGCCGGAAUCUCGGGUUCUUUGCCGGCUGCAGCCAGUUAACUGCUACCCGCCCGCUGCCUCCGCAAAGCUUUGUCCAGUUGGAGUCAUUCGAUGCCCAGUUUGCAGCCAAGAAUGUGCAGAGAGACAUAUCAUAGAUAACUUUUUUGUGAAGGACACUACUGAGGUUCCCAGCAGUACAGUAGAAAAGUCAAAUCAGGUGUGUACAAGCUGUGAGGACAACGCAGAAGCUAAUGGGUUUUGUGUAGAGUGUGUUGAAUGGCUCUGCAAGACAUGUAUCAGAGCUCAUCAGAGGGUAAAGUUCACAAAAGACCACACUGUCAGACAGAAAGAGGAAGUAUCUCCAGAGGCAGUUGGUGUCACCAGCCAGCGACCAGUGUUUUGUCCUUUUCAUAAAAAGGAGCAGCUGAAGCUGUACUGUGAGACAUGUGACAAACUGACAUGUCGAGACUGUCAGUUAUUAGAACAUAAAGAGCAUAGAUAUCAAUUUAUAGAAGAAGCUUUUCAGAAUCAGAAAGUGAUCAUAGAUACACUAAUCACCAAACUGAUGGAAAAAACAAAAUACAUAAAAUUCACAGGAAAUCAGAUCCAAAACAGAAUUAUUGAAGUAAAUCAAAAUCAAAAGCAGGUGGAACAGGAUAUUAAAGUUGCUAUAUUUACAUUGAUGGUAGAAAUAAAUAAAAAAGGAAAAGCUCUACUGCAUCAGUUAGAGAGCCUUGCAAAGGACCAUCGCAUGAAACUCAUGCAACAACAACAGGAAGUGGCUGGACUCUCUAAACAAUUGGAGCAUGUCAUGCAUUUUUCUAAAUGGGCAGUUUCCAGUGGCAGCAGUACAGCAUUACUUUAUAGCAAACGACUGAUUACAUACCGGUUACGGCACCUCCUUCGUGCAAGGUGUGAUGCGUCCCCAGUGACCAACAACACCAUCCAAUUUCACUGUGAUCCUAGUUUCUGGGCUCAAAAUAUUAUCAACUUAGGUUCUUUAGUAAUCGAGGAUAAAGAGAGCCAGCCACAAAUGCCUAAGCAGAAUCCUGUCGUGGAACAGAAUUCACAGCCACCAAGUGGUUUAUCAUCAAACCAGUUAUCCAAGUUCCCAACACAGAUCAGCCUAGCUCAAUUACGGCUCCAGCAUAUGCAGCAACAGCAACCCCCUCCACGUUUGAUAAACUUUCAGAAUCACAGCCCCAAACCCAAUGGACCAGUUCUUCCUCCUCAUCCUCAACAACUGAGAUAUCCACCAAACCAGAAUAUACCACGACAAGCAAUAAAGCCCAACCCCCUGCAGAUGGCUUUCUUGGCUCAACAAGCCAUAAAACAGUGGCAGAUCAGCAGUGGACAGGGAACCCCAUCAACUACC